GAUGAACGCUGGCGGCGUGCCUAAUACAUGCAAGUCGAGCGAACGGACGAGAAGCUUGCUUCUCUGAUGUUAGCGGCGGACGGGUGAGUAACACGUGGAUAACCUACCUAUAAGACUGGGAUAACUUCGGGAAACCGGAGCUAAUACCGGAUCAUAUUUUGAACCGCAUGGUUCAAAAGUGAAAGACGGUCUUGCUGUCACUUAUAGCUGGAUCCGCGCUGCAUUAGCUAGUUGGUAAGGUAACGGCUUACCAAGGAAACGAUGCAUAGCCGACCCGAGGGGGUGAACGGCCACCCUGGAACUGAGACAAGGGCCAGACCCCUACGGGAGGCAGCAGUAGGGAAUCUUCCGCAAUGGGCGAAAGCCUGACGGAACACCGCCGCGUGAGUGAUGAAGGUCUUCGGAUCGGAAAACUCUGUUAGUAGGGAAGAACAUAUGUGUAAGUAACUGUGCACAGCUUGACGGUACCUAAUCAGAAAGCCACGGCUAACUACGUU
rnacentral:rRNA from 1 species